AGAGUUUGAUCAUGGCUCAGGACGAACGCUGACGGUGUGCUUUAGGCAUGCAAGUCGAACGAGAAAGCCCUUCGGGGUGAGUAAAGUGGCGAACGGGUGAGUAACACGUGGGCAACCUGCCCCUCGCAGGGGGACAACCGGAGGAAACUCCGGCUAAUACCCCGUAAGCUCUACACGCCGCAUGGCGAGUAGAGGAAAGGUAGCUUCGGCCAUCCGGCGAGGGAUGGGCCCGCGGUGCAUUAGCUAGUUGGUGGGGUAACGGCCCACCAAGGCGACGAUGCGUAGCUGGUCUGAGAGGAUGAUCAGCCACACUGGGACUGAGACACGGCCCAGACUCCUACGGGAGGCAGCAGCCAGGAAUCUUGGGCAAUGGGCGAAAGCCUGACCCAGCAACACCGUGUGGGUGAUGAAGGCCUUCGGGUCGUAAAGCCCUGUUGAUAGGGACGAAGGGCGAAGGGUUAAUAGCCCGGAGCUUGACGGUACCUUUCGAGGAAGCCCCGGCUAACUACGUGCCAGCAGCCGCGGUAAUACGUAGGGGGCGAGCGUUGUCCGGAAUUAUUGGGCGUAAAGAGCGUGUAGGCGGUUCGGUAAGUCUGUCGUGAAAUCCUGGGGCUCAACCCUGGGCGUGCGAUGGAUACUGCCGGGCUAGAGGGUGGUAGAGGCGAGUGGAAUUCCCGGUGUAGCGGUGAAAUGCGCAGAUAUCGGGAGGAACACCAGUAGCGAAGGCGGCUCGCUGGGCCACACCUGACGCUGAGACGCGAAAGCUAGGGGAGCGAACAGGAUUAGAUACCCCUGUAGUCC
rnacentral:rRNA from 1 species